AUGCGGGUCGGGCGAAAAAACCUGCCCGAUCAGACCCCGCAUCCCGUCCCUGAUGAGGACAUCAAUACCAUUGUUACAUCCACAGCCCCUGCUGCUAUACAUACUGGACCAAUUACUAGAGCUCGCGCACGCCAACUAAAUUACCAGGUACUUUCGUUUCUUGGUAAUGAUUCUAAUGUUCAUGAGAAUAUGAUGCUGCCUAAAUUGGAUACAUUUGUUUUGCUUACAAAUAAAGGGUCUAGCUUGGAGAAGGAUGAACAUUGGAGCAAGAACAAGCAUGGAGAUGACGCCAUGCGCAAGGAGAACAAGAACGGAGUUACAAGUGAUGAUUUCAGGUCUUUGAAGCCACCAUAA
rnacentral:rRNA from 1 species